rnacentral:lncRNA from 1 species
UUUUAUCCGGUAUUCCAAAUAUCCACAUAUAUAAAAAAAAAAUAUAUAUAUAUAUAUAUAAAGAAUGCGAGCCUACAUUUUAGUUUUGCCUCAAACAGGCCCAUCUAUCGAAACUUUCUAUUAAUUUUAAAGGCAGCAUGUUGAGAUAACAUAUUUUCAAGCCCAUUUAAGCUCCUUCAUGAAAAUCUUCGAAUAUCAAAAUCCAAGAAAAAUUGUAGCCAUGUGGUGUGUCCACAUUGGCGGGUUUUAAUUUAACCCAAUCCACUUAAAAUGUGGAUUGGGAUUUAUCCUAAUAAGUUUAAGAUAAGAAUAAAUCCUAGGUUUCUUAUUAGUUAAGAAAUUUAUCUACUAAUGGAUAUCUAUUAUAUGUUAAUUGAUAUCCUGAUCCUUAUCCUAAUCUAUAUGAGAUUCAGGAUAUUUAGGGGUUCUGUUAUUCUAUAAAUACGUCACCUUGUUUUCUCCCAUGAAGGACGAUUGAAUACGAUCAAAUUCGUAAGAACCCAUGAAAUAUCUUUCUUAUUCUCUCUCUUCUUCCUCUCUGGGAUUUCCUCCUACGUUCCCGGGGUUUUGGAGUGUGGACAUAAAAGAGGACUCUGAUAGCCCUCUCCGAUCGGCAUUCGUCACAUCAGAUCUACAUCCGAUCCGUGGCGUAAGGCGUACGCAAAGGAGAAGGCGAGAAACGUAGAAGAUCCAGAAGGAUCGAGACAAGGACGAUCCAAGAAGGCUUGUUAAAUAAGUAAUCCGAUCCGAUUCGGGUUCCCGGAUACGUUGGCUAUCCGGUUUGUAAGUUUUCACUACCCUAUUAUUUCCAACAGAAAUCAUGAAAACCAUUCACCUAUGAUAAUUUAAGUAUUUUCAUUUCAAAUGAUCUUGUCAUGUCAUCACCGUUAAUAGUUCUCUCAACAGUUAACAAAAUUUUCAACUUUUGCAAGCCCAUUUGAUAUAAAACUAAAGUACAAAAUUGAUAUUAUUUAAAUUAAUUUUUAUGCAUGAUGACAUUUGAAAGAUAGGAUAUGUGCCGGGAGUUUGGGGAGGAGGAUUUGUCAAUGUUUGGUUAGGGAAUAGGAAUAGGGAUGGGCCCUUAUCCCCCCUUUAUACCCUAACGCUAAUUUUUUAUCCGAGAACAGUAAGUUCUCUGUUACCUAUAAUAACCGGUUAUAACUAUUUCCAUCAACACCUCCAUUUUCUAUAUAAAACUAUCUAAUAUUUUUCUUAUUCCAUAUUAUCUAUCCAAGCACUAUUUUUCUUAUCCUAGGAAACAAUCCAAUUUUUAUCCAAACGCUAUUUUUCUUAUCCCCAUACUAGCACCUAUUCCUAUAAUAGUUAGUUUUUGCUUAUACCCGAACCAAACGGUACGGAUUUAUAGUUAAUCCUUUUCUUAAUCUCAU